AUCUCGUUGGAACACCGGUUCCCGUAAGAUCACCGAAGUAAGGCAACGUCGAGCCUGGUCAGUACAUAGAUGGGUGACCACAUGGGAAUAGCAAGUGCUGUAAG